rnacentral:rRNA from 1 species
CCUACGGGCGGCUGCAGUGAGGAAUAUUGGUCAAUGGUCGCGAGCCUGAACCAGCCAAGUCGCGUGAGGGAUGACUGCCCUACGGGUUGUAAACUUCUUUUAUCAAGGAAUAAAGUGCGGCACGUGUGCCUUUUUGUAUGUACUUUAUGAAUAAGGAUCGGCUAACUCCGUGCCAGCAGCCGCGGUAAUACGGAGGAUCCGAGCGUUAUCCGGAUUUAUUGGGUUUAACGGGAGCGUAGAUGGGUUGUUAAGUCAGGUGUGAAAGUUUGCGGCUCAACCGUAAAAGUGCAAUUGAUACUGGCAGCCUUGAGUACAGUUGAGGUAGGCGGAAUUCGUGGUGUAGCGGUGAAAUGCUUAGAUAUCACGAAGAACUCCGAUUGCGAAGGCAGCUUACUAAACUGCCACUGACAUUGAUGCUCGAAAGUGUGGGUAUCAAACAGGAUUAGAUACCCGGGUAGUC